AUGAACGCUAGCGACAGGCUUAACACAUGCAAGUCGAGGGGCAGCACAGGUAGCAAUACCGGGUGGCGACCGGCGCACGGGUGAGUAACGCGUAUGCAACUUGCCUAUCAGAGGGGGAUAACCCGGCGAAAGUCGGACUAAUACCGCAUGAAGCAGGGAUCCCGCAUGGGAAUAUUUGCUAAAGAUUCAUCGCUGAUAGAUAGGCAUGCGUUCCAUUAGGCAGUUGGCGGGGUAACGGCCCACCAAACCGACGAUGGAUAGGGGUUCUGAGAGGAAGGUCCCCCACAUUGGUACUGAGACACGGACCAAACUCCUACGGGAGGCAGCAGUGAGGAAUAUUGGUCAAUGGCCGAGAGGCUGAACCAGCCAAGUCGCGUGAGGGAUGAAGGUUCUAUGGAUCGUAAACCUCUUUUAUAAGGGAAUAAAGUGCGGGACGUGUCCCGUUUUGUAUGUACCUUAUGAAUAAGGAUCGGCUAACUCCGUGCCAGCAGCCGCGGUAAUACGGAGGAUCCGAGCGUUAUCCGGAUUUAUUGGGUUUAAAGGGUGCGUAGGCGGCCUUUUAAGUCAGCGGUGAAAGUCUGUGGCUCAACCAUAGAAUUGCCGUUGAAACUGGGGGGCUUGAGUAUGUUUGAGGCAGGCGGAAUGCGUGGUGUAGCGGUGAAAUGCAUAGAUAUCACGCAGAACCCCGAUUGCGAAGGCAGCCUGCCAAGCCAUUACUGACGCUGAUGCACGAAAGCGUGGGGAUCAAACAGGAUUAGAUACCCUGGUAGUCCACGCAGUAAACGAUGAUCACUAGCUGUUUGCGAUACACUGUAAGCGGCACAGCGAAAGCGUUAAGUGAUCCACCUGGGGAGUACGCCGGCAACGGUGAAACUCAAAGGAAUUGACGGGGGCCCGCACAAGCGGAGGAACAUGUGGUUUAAUUCGAUGAUACGCGAGGAACCUUACCCGGGCUUAAAUUGCAACUGACUGAACCGGAAACGGUUCUUUCUUCGGACAGUUGUGAAGGUGCUGCAUGGUUGUCGUCAGCUCGUGCCGUGAGGUGUCGGCUUAAGUGCCAUAACGAGCGCAACCCUUGCCACUAGUUACUAACAGGUAAAGCUGAGGACUCUGGUGGGACUGCCAGCGUAAGCUGCGAGGAAGGCGGGGAUGACGUCAAAUCAGCACGGCCCUUACAUCCGGGGCGACACACGUGUUACAAUGGCGUGGACAAAGGGAGGCCACCUGGCGACAGGGAGCGAAUCCCCAAACCACGUCUCAGUUCGGAUCGGAGUCUGCAACCCGACUCCGUGAAGCUGGAUUCGCUAGUAAUCGCGCAUCAGCCAUGGCGCGGUGAAUACGUUCCCGGGCCUUGUACACACCGCCCGUCAAGCCAUGGGAGCCGGGGGUACCUGAAGUCCGUAACCGAAAGGAUCGGCCUAGGGUAAAACUGGUGACUGGGGCU
rnacentral:rRNA from 1 species